rnacentral:ncRNA from 2 species
GAUUAAGAAGACUGGCCACAAGCCUCCUGCCUGGCCAGCUGGCAACCGCGCAGCGCGCACGGUGCCCGCAGGGGAAAAUCGGCCCGCCAGCCAACCGGCCCGGGAAGAGCGAAAA